CAGACCAUGGAAUUUUAGUUAUAAAACAAUAAAAAAAAUUAUUACAUGUAAAGAAGGAAAAAUAUGGCUAAAUUUUCCAUGUUUGUUUAUGCUUUGAUCAACUUUCUUUCUCUAUUUCUUGUUGAAACAGCAAUAACUAAUAUUCGUUGUGUUUCUGAUGAUGAUUGCCCAAAGGUAAUAAAACCUCUAGUUAUGAAGUGUAUUGGUAAUUAUUGUUAUUUCUUUAUGAUCUAUGAGGGUCCAUAAUCACACAAUUGAAACAAGGGGAGUAAAAAUCAAACAAUUGAGAAAUAUAAGGGGCGACUAGAACAUUUAAGUCUAUUAUUUAUAAUAAGUCAUAAUAUUUGUUUUGGUAAAAAAAAAAAAUAUUCAUAAUAUUUGUAUGUAUUGCGCUCUUUUUCCUUCAACAUGCUUUAUGUCAA